UCUGCCCUGCCCAGCAGCCACUGAGCAAGGUUUGCAGUCCCAGGUUCCCCACUCACCCCACACGACCGCAGCUUUACGGCGACAAAGCUAAAGAUGAACAAGCUCUUGGUUCUCGGCUUCUCUGCCCUGCUCUGCUGUGUCUCAGCUGAAGCCCUUCGAUGUACCGUUUGCCAAAACAAGAUACCCGUCUUCGGCUGCAUCAAAGGAUUGGGCAUCUGCCACCCUGCGCCAGGGCUACCCUGCAAAUACAUCAGAGUCUAUACCACAGGCAUCCAGUUUCAUUCACAGGCAGAUUGUGCUGUGCAAGGCGACAAAUGCAACAUCAUGGAGCCAACGAAGUCUGGCCACCGCCAAAUUUCCUGCUGCAAGACUGACUUCUGCAACAGUUAGAACUACCAACAGCACCAAUGUGGAUCUCCACCUCAUGGAAUUGUGGGGCCUGUGUCCAUGCUAUAGGGAUCCCAAGCCCUUCUCUCAUCCCCCAUCUCAGGCUUCAAGAUGCCUCCACAAUCCAAGACCACCACUUAGGACCUCACUGCCUUUAUCGUGCUAAUUUGACGCAUCCAAAAUUAUCCUCAGUGUGAAAACUCUUGCCAUACAUGGCACUAACAGGCUCCCUGCCAGACUGACUCAGCCACAAUAAAGGCCCUCACAGCUGGGAGCUCAUAUACCUCUGCCUUACUAAGCAGAGAUCCCAUUUACCUGCAUUCACACCCACGUCCCCGCCUCACUGAUUAUCCUAUUUCACCAUUCCCUCAGGCAACAGAAAGUAAUUUGGGUCAGUGGAGAGAGCACAGGCUAGGAACUCUGGAGUUCCAACUCUACUAGCUGUAUCCUAGGGCAGGUCCCCUCACGGUUGCAUGUCUUGUUUAUGCUAGGAGAUUUGCACUAGUUUACCCAAAUCAAUUUAAAAUCUAUUUAAAACUAAUGCAACCUUUAAAAUCAGUACAUUUAAACCAGUGAAACUCUCACUUAAAUCACUUUAAUUUGCAUCAGUAAUUACUGAGGUAAGCUAAAAAGAUGCAAGUGAAACUGAUUUAAGUGCAUCUACAUUAGGGGUUUGCACCAGCUUACCUACACCAAUUUAGGUCUUGAAUCGAUUUAUCUGAUAAGGAAUUAACUUCAGUUUGGUUGGUAAAAGCACUCAAACUGAAAUAAGAGUGCCUAUGCAAGGGAGACUGACAUUCAAGCAAUCUCCACGUAGCCAAAGCCAGCAGCUGGUGCAACAUUUCAGCGGUCUCUGAAAUAUUGCUGGUGUACUGAGCGUGUAUCCGUUCACCUACGAUAUUGUGCUGCUGAACUGUGAACUUUGCUUCGUUUGGAUUUCUCUACUUUGUUUCCCGGGUCUAUAAACCCCAUUCUUGCUAAAUUGAAAUCUCAGCAGUUCUGAUUUGUAUUGGGGGUCCCCCCUUGCAUAUGCCAGGCAGCCUUUUGAUGUCUCCAAAGCAUUCUAAUGCCAAAAAACCCUACAACACUCUUGGCCAGAUAUAGUCUAUUCAUUUAAACCACAGUCCCCGUUUGACCUCUGUUUUGGGAGGCUACAUCAGAUGGCCAGGGGGCCUGUAUCAGGAAUAUGUAAGCCUUUUCUUUCAAGUUUAGGGCUAAAGCUAGGAAUGAAGAGGUCACAAAACAAAACGUGUCGCUAAACCACUGCUUGAAAACUGGCAGUGUCAUACCUGACUUCGGUCAUUAUGGGAGUGAGCUUUGAACUGCUCCUUUACUGCCAGGCCUGCUGGAGCAGCAAGCCUGAUUGAUUAAAGGACUCGGAGGCAUAGCAGGAAACUGAAUGCUGAGCCAAAACUGGAACCCCCUCCCCACCCAAUUUGGAAGCCAUGAAAAGACUCCCUAACCUUCUUACUGAAAUAGACCCAGAAAGGGGGCACUCCUGGAUGCUGGGAGGGAGAAGAGCUGGAAGGUGGUGUGGAAAUGAUACACUGGCUUUAUCUGGAUCCUUUGCUUUGUUAAUAAGGUGGGAUCCCUAGAAGGGGCAAACUCUUCUGAAAUGGAAUUCUGUCCGGAACACCCCAGAGCAGCCAUUUGCUUUCUUUCAAAUUGAGAUUAUACUUUAUUUUGUAAAAAUUUACAAAAGUUUAUACAGAUUGUGUUUAUCUUCACAUCAUUGUACAUUUGACUGUGAUUGGUCAGAAGCAAGUGGUCCUUGUUAAUACAAAUAAACUAUGUACCAUUAAAAGAAAUAACUGCCCAACGAAGUCUGAAUUUUAGGUACCAAGAAAGGGGUAAGAGAAAGGGGCAUUUCUUAUUUCCAUGAGGCUCUGCUACCCUCCAACAAAUUCCCAAUAUAAGCUGUUGUAUAGAAUAGGUUUGACUUUACCUUCCAAUGUAGGAAAAACUACAGAACAGUGAACAAAGGGAAAAGAUAGUUAAAAACAAGAUAAACGGUACAUAAAAUGUUAAUACAGUAUCCAUUCUGCUGCAGACCUCUUAGCCUGCAAUGUGUAAAACUACAGGUGAAUACCACACUAGAACUAGUGCUUUGGGCCCAACCACUUUACUUAAUAAAAGGAAAGGCCAAAAAGGUAUAAUAAAUUUAACAAAAUUACAUGACUAAGACCCACAUUGUCUCUAAGCCUCUGCACCCCAUGUCAUCAAAUUUUAAAUGAAAGGGUAACAGACAAGUUAUUGCUCAAAUAGAUUUAAAAUCAGAAGAUACAACAAUGCAGUAAGGGGGCUGAAACAAUUGGGCUGAAACAAUUUUUUAUUAGGUAUAGACUCUUACCCUCCCGCUCCCACAAAAAAACCCUAAGUCUGCGUCAGUCAGCGGCUGCAAUAGCCUUGGGGCAGGAGGCAUACUCUCUGUAAGUCAGUGGAACAGUCAGACUGGCUCCCCAGAAGCACAAAGUAUCCCAAUGAGAGGGUUUGCUGACUGAGCAGAAGAAAAAAA